UACGUAGGGUCCGAGCGUUGUCCGGAAUUAUUGGGCGUAAAGAGCUCGUAGGCGGUCUGUCACGUCGGCUGUGAAAACCCGAGGCUCAACCUCGGGCCUGCAGUCGAUACGGGCAAACUAGAGUACUGCAGGGGAGACUGGAAUUCCUGGUGUAGCGGUGAAAUGCGCAGAUAUCAGGAGGAACACCGGUGGCGAAGGCGGGUCUCUGGGCCGAUACUGACGCUGAGGAGCGAAAGCGUGGGGAGCGAACAGG
rnacentral:rRNA from 1 species